rnacentral:snoRNA from 1 species
GACCUCCUGGUGCUUACCACGACUGUGUUCUUACAUUGACCAAAUAGAAAGAGGAGACAAAGUAAACCUAUCCCACAUACACCUCUGUACACUCUGUACGUGGGUCUGCAUUGUGAAUGGGGAGACAUGG